AGAGUUUGAUCCUGGCUCAGGAUGAACGCUGGCGGUCUGCUUAACACAUGCAAGUCGAACGGAGUAGAAAUACUUAGUGGCGGACGGGUGAGUAACGCGUGAGAAUCUGCCUUCAGGACGGAGACAACAGUUGGAAACGACUGCUAAGCCCCGAUGAACCGAAAGGGAAAAUAUUUAUAGCCUGAAGAUGAGCUCGCGUCCGAUUAGCUAGUUGGCGGAGUAAAAGCCCACCAAGGCGACGAUCGGUAGCUGGUCUGAGAGGACGAUCAGCCACACUGGGACUGAGACACGGCCCAGACUCCUACGGGAGGCAGCAGUGGGGAAUUUUCCGCAAUGGGCGAAAGCCUGACGGAGCAAGACCGCGUGAGGGAGGAAGGCUCUUGGGUCGUAAACCUCUUUUCUCUGGGAAUAAGAAAGUGAAGGUACCAGAGGAAUCAGCAUCGGCUAACUCCGUGCCAGCAGCCGCGGUAAUACGGAGGAUGCAAGCGUUAUCCGGAAUGAUUGGGCGUAAAGAGUCCGUAAGUGGUGAUUCAAGUCGAUUGUUAAAGAGCGGGGCUUAACCCCGUAGAAGCAGUGGAAGCUGAAUCACUAGAGAGAGGUAGGGGUAGAGGGAAUUCCCGGUGUAGCGGUGAAAUGCGUAGAGAUCGGGAAGAACACCAGUGGCGAAAGCGCUCUACUGGACCUCAUCUGACACUGAGGGACGAAAGCUAGGGGAGCGAAAGGGAUUAGAUACCCCCGUAGUCC
rnacentral:rRNA from 1 species